AUACGGAGGGUGCAAGCGUUACUCGGAAUCACUGGGCGUAAAGCGCGCGCAGGCGGCUAUUUAAGUUGGAUGUGAAAGCCUACGGCUCAACCGUAGAACUGCAUCCAAAACUAUUUAGCUAGAGUGUGGGAGAGGAAGAUGGAAUUAGUUGUGUAGGGGUAAAAUCCGUAGAGAUAACUAGGAAUACCAAAAGCGAAGGCAAUCUGCUGGAACACUACUGACGCUGAGGCGCGAAAGCGUGGGGAGCAAACAGGGUUAGAAACCCUAGUAGUCC
rnacentral:rRNA from 1 species